rnacentral:rRNA from 1 species
GACGAACGCUGGCGGCGUGCUUAACACAUGCAAGUCGAACGAAGAGCGAUGGAAGCUUGCUUCUAUCAAUCUUAGUGGCGAACGGGUGAGUAACGCGUAAUCAACCUGCCCUUCAGAGGGGGACAACAGUUGGAAACGACUGCUAAUACCGCAUACGAUCCAAUCUCGGCAUCGGGACUGGAUGAAAGGUGGCCUCUAUUUAUAAGCUAUCACUGAAGGAGGGGAUUGCGUCUGAUUAGCUAGUUGGAGGGGUAACGGCCCACCAAGGCGAUGAUCAGUAGCCGGUCUGAGAGGAUGAACGGCCACAUUGGGACUGAGACACGGCCCAGACUCCUACGGGAGGCAGCAGUGGGGAAUCUUCCGCAAUGGACGAAAGUCUGACGGAGCAACGCCGCGGGAGUGAUGACGGCCUUCGGGUUGUAAAGCUCUGUUAAUCGGGACGAAUGGUUCUUGUGCGAAUAGUGCGAGGAUUUGACGGUACCGGAAGAGAAAGCCACGGCUAACUACGUG